rnacentral:rRNA from 1 species
GGGGAUAAGCGGCGGAAACCCCGUCUAAUACCGCGCGACAACCCGAGGGGGCAUCCCCUUGGGUUCAAAGGAGAGAUCCGGUACCGGCUGGGCAUGCGGCGCAUUAGCUAGUUGGCGGGGCAACGGCCCACCAAGGCGACGAUGCGUAGGGGUUCUGGGAGGAAGGUCCCCCACACUGGAACUGAGACACGGUCCAGACUCCUACGGGAGGCAGCAGUGAGGAAUAUUGGUCAAUGGGCGCAAGCCUGAACCAGCCAAGUCGCGUGAGGGAAGACGGCCCUACGGGUUGUAAACCUCUUUUGCCGGGGAGCAAGCCUGAGCACGUGUGCCCAGGCGGAGAGUACCCGGAGAAAAAGCAUCGGCUAACUCCGUGCCAGCAGCCGCGGUAAUACGGAGGAUGCGAGCGUUAUCCGGAUUUAUUGGGUUUAAAGGGUGCGCAGGCGGGCUGUUAAGCCGGCGGUAAAAAUUCAGGGCUCAACCCUGUCGAGCCGUCGGAACUGGCAGUCUUGAGUGGGCGAGAAGUAUGCGGAAUGCGUGGUGUAGCGGUGAAAUGCAUAGAUAUCACGCAGAACGCCGAUUGCGAAGGCAGCAUACCGGCGCCCAACUGACGCUGAGGCACGAAAGCGUGGGGAUCGAACAGGAUUAGAUACCCUGGUAGUCCACGCAGUAAACG